AUUGAACGCUGGCGGCGUGCUUAACACAUGCAAGUCGAUCGGUAACGCGGGGGCAACCCUGGCGACGAGAGGCGGACGGGUGAGGAACGCUUGGGAAUCUGCCCAUCAGCGGGGGACAACCCGGGGAAACCCGGGCUAAUACCGCAUACGCUCCACGGAGGAAAGCCGGGGACCGCAAGGCCUGGCACUGAUGGAUGAGCCCAAGUCGGAUUAGCUAGUUGGCGGGGUAACGGCCCACCAAGGCGACGGUCCGUAGCGGGUCUGAGAGGACGAGCAGCUACACUGGGACUGAGACAAGGCCCAGACUCCUACGGGAGGCAGCAGGGGGGAAUAUUGGACAAUGGGGGAAACCCUGAUCCAGCGACGCCGCGUGGGUGAAGAAGGCCUGCGGGUUGUAAGGCCCUUUCGGUAGGGACGAAAGCUCUCGACCCAACACGUCGGGAGGUUGACUUAACCUACAAAAGAAGCACCGGCUAACUCUGUGCCAGCCGCCGCCGUAACAC
rnacentral:rRNA from 1 species